UCAAAUAAACAAAUUUAUGUGAAUUUCUAAGAGAUUAUAUGACAAUGUACAGUAAUCGUUCGCUAAUUGGUCCUGGUUUAACUGGGCGAACGUUAUCAAUUCCAUGAAGUUCCCCUCGAUUUUAUUUGACGUUUAACAUACCGGACCAGUUAAAACGCGAAUGUCGACAACUGGUAUUCCCUUUCGCCCAGUUAGUGAAUGCUUCCUGUAUAUAUAGAACUGUGAACAAAUCAAUAAAGCAUAUUAACAAGUUAAAAAAAGACUCGGAGGAGUUACCCGAUGAAAACGAGGAAUCUGAGGGGACUGAGCGGGCAGUGAAAAAUUUAGUGAAAUACCGGUCUAAGAAUUUCGGAUACAAUGUAUAUAACAAAAAAUAAGGUUAGAGAUGAAAUUUUUAUUUUAUGGUUCGACUUUAAAGUAACACCUGCCUAUUUCACAUUAAAACCGGUAUGCACCAUUAUGCAAAGUAACUGAAUCAUUAAAUGAAACAUUGUCUAAAACAAAUAGUACACAUCAUACUGAAUGUUCACUUUUCGAGCCUUGUUUGUCAAACAUAUAAUCUUAUUCCUGAUUCAUUUUUCUCAUCGAAAAGUUCCACAAAAAGAAACUGCGUUUCAAUAGUUGUUCGCACAUCAAACUAACAUCGAUUCGAUAUUUGUUCAAUGACAAAUAAGAGCAUCAUUAAAAAACAGAAUUACAGUUCUUUUUUAUUAUUAUCACUUUACACUAUAAUGAACAAAAGUUGACCCUUUUUAAAAUGUUUUACCGUAGCAUAUUAGCAUAUACAGCUGAGAUUAACUUCCUCUAGUUUAUUACAAAGCGAUAGUAGUAGGUAGGUAGGGGUAGGGACAGUUAAUUUCUCAUUUGAAUUGUACCCAUUUGACAAAGAAUAAGCGUGAAUAUCCUUGAAGAACCUGAGACACAUUAAUUAGGCUAGAAAGAGAAUACCGAAGAACAGUGUUAAAAUGUAAGGUUGUGAAUCGGUACAACUUAACACUGCUGCUUCCAUAAACGAGGAACACAUCUUCAAUAGUCUUUGUGUAGAAUCACCAAGCGAGAACAGAACUAUUUUUUCGUUGUUUAUUUUUUUUGGUCAAUGUGAUAAUUCUGUUCACAAUAAUACUCCAUCAUAUUGUUAUGCCUAUCCACUUUUGAGAGUUUUAACAAAACUGACUGAUAAAUGGGUUCCUCCUCAACGUGAUCACACCUAUCGAGUGUGAGAGCCUGUCCUAUUUCCCACCAGGCGAUGGCUUCUUUUUUAUCAUACUCACCUGGUGCUGUGCUGAAGUAGCCUGUUGUACUUGAACUUGUUGCGCUGUAAUCUGAGUCUGUUGCUGUUGUGCUGCUUGUACAGCUGCAGCGGUUCCAUCACCAAUCGUGCAAGUAACAGUCCCAGCGGAUGAUGUAAUUAUUUGCUGCUGAGAAGCUUGAAUCUGUAGAACUUGUGACGCAGCUUGUUGCGUGUGUUGCUGCUGUGAUAGGCCUCCUCCUGUGUUCAGUUGUUGCGUUUGCUGAAUAUCGUUAUUGGGGGUAGCGGACACGACUUGGGAUUGCUGAACCGUCACGGCCACAAGUGAACCACUGGGUGUUUGUAACCGAACCGGACUUGCGUUCUGACGUUGGUUUUGUGUGUUUUGUAGCGCUGUUAGGAUCGCCUGUUGUUGUUGCGCGGGUGUUGCUCCAGCUGCCACCUUGAUGGUUCCGAUAUUUUGUGUAGGUACAUGAGCCCGAAUGUUACCGGCAGCUAUCGCCUGAGCAGCUGAUGUAGCCGUUACCACCUGUAAAUAGAGGAAGUCAGUAUACGAAAUGAUGAACUACAAAAUUAACUUUCAUCAAACCUGAAUUGUUUGUCUCUGAUUGGGUUGCUGCGAGACCGAUACUGGGAUAACUCUUCCAACACUUGUUUUACCCAGCACUAUUUGUCCACCCGCAGCUAGGGAAGCCGGCUGAGCAUGCCGAAUUACUUGUUGUAUCUGUUGUACGGUAACCGUUCCCGCUGGAAGAUUUUUAGGGCCUUGAACGAACAGUUGCGUUGGCUGACCAGAUUUCCCCGCUACUUGUGUGAUUUGAGUCAUUUUUCCACCCUUCCGCUGCUGAGCUGCGAUUAUCUGUUGCUGCAGCUGGAGUUGUCGCACCUGGCUCUGAUUGCUGAUUGUCUUGAUUUGGCCUGGUUUAACCUGCGAUAAGGUCAUUCCCGUUGCCGCCACAGUACCACUGGAGGUUUUAACUAGCGUCGUAAUUUGCUGACCAGAUGUACCCGCCUGUUGCACUUGUAAGUUUGCCGGUGCAAAAAUCUGCGCCUGUGGCAUCAGUUGUUGCUUAUGUUGCUGACUGAUGAUUUGUCUUUUCACCAUAAGCUGCAUUUCAUUUUCAGUCACCUGCCGAGUGGUUAUCAUUUGUUUCGUGCCAACCUGUUUGAUAAAUUGAGUCCGUUGUUGUCCAGGAGCCACCUGGACUGUGGCAAUAGUUCCUGCUUGCGUUGAUACCCCACUCACAGCAGCGUUGGUGGUACUUACCGUGGCAACCGAAACCUUUUGAGCUGUUUGUUGUACUUGUACAGCUUGUCCAACGGCACCUGUUUGAAUGAUAUUUCCCUGAAUUAUUGCUGGGCUCACCAACGUUGGUUGACCAGUACCCUGUUGAAGUACUGUCGUGGUCGUACCUUGGGCAGAAUUCGGAUGCAAAACCUUCAACUGCUGCCUAAUCGGUUGUUGACGAUAGAAUUGAAUCUGAGAAGUGUUUAUAGGUUUCCCUGCACUAGUUACCGUGCCCAUAGAUAUUCCUUUCGCCACAACACCGGAAACUUGCUGCCCACCAGCCAUGGAUAAUCGUAGCUGAGCAGUUUGCAACUGCGCCUGGGUUAAGCUCUGCCCCAAUCCACUCACACUCACUACGGUGGGACUUUGUGAGCCCGAGCGUUGAUGAAGAACCACUUCUUGUAAUGUUCCCGGAGGAGCAACGAUACGCUGAGCUCUCAAGGCAGACGUAGUAAGUGUUGUUACUUGCGGCUGUUGAAUUGUUGCAGUUGUCAUAACAGUUCCUACAGUCGCCAAUUGAGCGACAGAUACUACCUGUGGCAACGAUUGGGUCGCUAGGGUUUGAACCACGCUGUUGGACGAUUGUGUAAUCGUUGGAUUGCUCGGUAUAAUUUGCGAUGAAGAUUGAUGGAUCGACACAAUCUGUGGUUGUGAAAGCUGUACCUGGUUUGUGGACAUUGUGGUUACCGGAGUAGUCAAGACAACUGAAACCUGCUGCUGGGGACUAUUUUGUGCAACGGCCAACUGCUGAGUAAUGAUAUUCUGAUUAGCUGAACUGGCUACAAUUGCUUUCACUAUCUGGUGUUGAUUGGGUGUAGGACAGAUGUUUACUACAGACUGAGCACGACCAGCUUGAUUUGAGGGCGCUUGAACUAGUGUCGCCACUGCAGAAGCGCUCGUACCAAUACCACUCACAACAAUCGUAGCUUGUUGCAUUUGACUUCCCGCAGUUGCAGUCGCGACAUGUUGAGGUACAUGUGGUUGGAUUUGGAUUUGCUGUUGCACUUGCUGUUGGAUAACAUGUGCUUGAGGCGGUUGAACAACUUGCUGUGAUGGAAUGGAAUGGAAGUGAGUGAAAAAGUCUAAACUAUAAACGAAUUCUCGCUUAGAAGUUGGAAAUAGUAUCUCAGAUCGCAGUCAAACUUUGUGGGUGUAAAAAAAUUGGCCAUUUGAGCAUCUUUACAUGCUUGAAAAUACAAAAAAAAAUCUAGACGACGUUCUUGAGAAAGAUUUAAUGGUUUUUUCUCAAAUUUUCCGAAAAAAAUCACAACUCAAAAAAACCUACAAAGUUUUGAUCGAAGAAUGUGUGGGUAUUAGCAUAAACACAUAUACACGGAUACAUAAAGUCAAAUGUUGCUACCCACCCGUAUUUGUCUCAGUUCCCAUAUUGGUGACUCGCGACGUCGCGUAGAAAAUUUCGUCGAUUUCGUCGUGUUCUUAUGACGAUUUAAACCAGUACUACCAGGUACUCAACUUUUUUCAGAAGGGCCACAAACACAUGUUAGUCAUAGUGUUGCGGACCGCAAAAAAAACAAAGGUGGUGUCCAAAACACAACCGCAAUUUUAACGUACGACUACGAAAUCCGAACCUAAUCGGAUGUGUGGAAGGGUGCCGAUGUCGAUAGCAACCGCUGCCAAACAAAUUUUCACCGCCGAAAAUACCUUGCGGAAAAUCACUAAUAAGCAAUUCAUGACUUAUCAGUCAUCCAGCCAGCGAUUAAAUAACAGCAGCAGUGAGACUUUCCAAAUGCCCUUUCUCAAAGUCGAGUGUUUAGAUUAUUUUUUAUAUAUAGGCAUUUUUCGAGGCUAGAGGCUAAUGAACUGAGAAUGAGAAAACCUCUAUAAUACAAAACAUUGGCAUCAUUACACGUUUACAGUGAAAAACUUUUCAACUAGUUGCAUUUUCAACGAAUUUAAACAGAAUUUUCUGCCGGCGCUUUAAAAUCGUGAUGUUGUUACAUAAAAUAGACUCCUAAAUUAAUACCGUACCUUUUUAGCAACCCAAAAAAAUUGGGGUAUUGCCAGAUACCUUUAGAAGGUUUUGGCUAGGUGAAAUAUUGAAAGAAUAUUCCAAGUGCAGCAAAAGAAUAUUUUUUGUUGGUGGCAAUAUAGUUGCCAGUACCCGUUAAAGGCUUAAAUUAUCUUUUGUAGCUUUUUUUAACGUCAACCGGAAGUUGUCCAUUUUUAAAUGUAAGCUGUGCUUAGGGAAGGGUAGUCAUAUUAUGUGCCCUAUUAUAAAAAUUGAGGCGAUAAGAAUUUUGAUCGUUUUGAUCGACCCUAUUUUACUAUUAUAGGGCCCUAUCUAGAAAUCGAAGCGAUAAGAAUUUUGCUCGUUAGCUCUAUUUUACUAUUAUAGAUACCGAGAAAGACGAUAGCAUCGAACGAGUGAAUGCUAUCGGUACAACUGUCAUAAUUUCCUGAGCAAUUCGUUUUGGUUUGGUUGUUGCUUUUGAUGUAUGUUCUGAUUCGUUCGUUUGUGUUGAUCAGUAUUUGUUUCCUGGUGCUGCCAGAACAGUCUAUACGAGAUAAGUGUUCAAUCCAGAAUAAUUUAUACCCAUAAUGUUAAAAUUUACAAUGCAGGAUUUACUUCCAGCGCAUAUUUGAUUGACUGGAAAUGAGUGGGACAUCCCAUGCGUCUUGGCUCAGAAUGACAGAAAGUAAGUGUUUCUUCUAUGAUACAAACAGUAAAUUAACCCUAUUGGGUAUACCGAGGCACCACUCAGUGUUUCCUUAGAGGCGAUUGUGACCUAUAAUUGGACAUUCGCGAAAACAGUGAUACAGUAUCAACCCUCAAUCUGGGCCGUAAUUUGGGUCCCAAACUCGAUGUUUACAAAAAUGUCCAAUUAAAAGCGAAAAUGUUUAAUUAUUCGUGUCGCAUUACAGGUCUGUCCAAUGAGCUAGAUGUCAAUAUAUAUUAGACUAAUGUAAUAUUAAAUAUAUAUUGAAACGUCACGUUUUUUUUUUCAAAUAAAACAGAUUUUCUCAACUCUGAACCUUUAUACGGAAUUUCGUUUAUACUUCAAAUACUCUAUCACCAAUUCCCCAAAGAAUGUUACUAAUUGACAAAUUGACGUAAUAUAUCAUAGAGCAGUGAAUGAAAAUCUGAUUGAACCUUACUCACACAUGCUAGUCUUAAACUCUAACCACUCGUUAUUUCAUGCUAGAAUAAAUUGAAAGAUUGCAUACAAAAAAAAUUCAUGCGUAACUGUCGUUUUUAUUACAAAUGAAACAGUGCAUGCCUUACGCCUAUUAAAGUUCAUUCGUUGAGGGAAUAUCAGUUUUCUCCAAAACAUUACCAUAUUAACACUUUUGGAAAUACAGAUAUUUAAAAUUUUCAUAGCAGAUGUCUCAAAAAAAGAUUUCGCAUCCUUUCUAUAGCGCUUUGUGAAACCUUUCAAACCCGUUUCAAAAUAUUUCAGCAACACAUAUAAUUCCAGAUUUUACUCGGCGUGGUAGUGAUAGUGAUUGUAUCGAAUCCUCGAUUCGAUUUCUAUAAUAAGGCCCAUAGAUACCGAGCAAUUCGAUAGUAUCGAGCGAGUGAUAGCUAUCGGUGCAAGUAUUAUAAUUUUUCGAGUUGUUUGGUUCGUUUGUUGCAUAUCUUCAGAGAAUUAUUUUGUUACGCGUAAAUAUAUGCAAUCACAACACAUGAGCUCGGUAUGAGAUUGGGCCCUAUUAUAGAAAUCGAGGUGAUAAGAAUUUUGCAAAACAUACUUCCAGAGCAUAUUUCAGUGGCUGAAAAUGAGUGGACAGACAAAUCACCACCAGUUUGAACGACUCGUUGAACCAAUGAAAACGAAUGUAAACAUUGCUCGAGGUAUUUGUGGAGGCAGUUCAAAUAGAAUCCCGGUUAAGGAAAAGUGGGAGGAAUUCAAUGAGGAACUUAUUUGCUGAGUCCAUCAAUGCGUCUUGGUUCAGAAUGGCAGAAAAUUUGGACAUGAGGUGAAUGGUAAAGAAAACACUAGCACACAACAAGCGAGAAUUUAGGGCCACAGGUGGUGGCCCAAUACAAUAAAGCCAUUGACGCCGCUACAACAAGAAAUCGAAAUCGAAUUGAAAUCGAUUGCAGUUGUGAAAAUACAUGAGAAAGUUCAUUUUCUAAUAAUUAUGGGCCCUAUUAUAGAAAUCGAGGCGAUAAGAAUUUUGCUCGUUAGCUCUAUUUUACUAUUAUAGAAAUCGAGCAAUUCGAUAGCACCGAGCGAGUGAUAAAUGCAUGUGUCAGAACUUUUCGAGUUGUUUGGUUCACUUGUUGCAUAUCUUCAGAGAAUUAUUUUGUUUUGGCUUGCAUCCCUUUGGGAAACAUUUCAGAAACGCUUCAAUAUAUGCAAUUUGCAACACAUGUUCGUUUGUUUUGAUCAGCAUUUGUUUUACGGUGCUGCCAGAAUAGUCAAUACAAGCGCAUAAAUGAGUGGUGGAAGAAAAAAAACCAAAUCACCACCAGUUUGAACGGCUCCUUGAAACAAUGGAAGCGAACGUAGACAUUGCUCGAGAUCUUUGUGGAGGCAGUUCUAAUAUAAUCCCGGUGUAGGAAAAGUUGGAGGAAUCCAGAGAGGAACUUAAUGCACUGAGACCACCAAUGCAUCUAGGUUCAGAAUGACAGAAAGUUUGGAUUGACAUGAGGGGAAACGUAAAGAAAACACUAGCACACAACAAGCGAGAAUUUAGAGCAACAGGUGGUGGUCCCAAUAUAAUAAAGAUAUUGACGCCGCUACAACAAGAAAUCGACGCUAAAAGAGAAUUACAUGUUGCAUUACAUGAAUAACAAAAAUUGUUUUGCUAAAAAAAAGUGAAAUUCGUGCGUGACUCUCUUCGGAA